rnacentral:rRNA from 1 species
UACGUAGGGACCGAGCGUUGUCCGGAAUCAUUGGGCGUAAAGAGCGUGUAGGCGGCCACUUAAGUCCUGCGUGAAAUCCUGCGGCUCAACCGCAGGCGGUCGUGGGAAACUGGAUGGCUAGAGUGCGGGAGAGGAGAGUGGAAUUCCUGGUGUAGCGGUGGAAUGCGCAGAUAUCAGGAAGAACACCCGUGGCGAAGGCGGCUCUCUGGAACGCAACUGACGCUGAGACGCGAAAGCGUGGGGAGCAAACAGG